rfam:Schistosoma mattheei strain Denwood, Zambia genome assembly, scaffold: SMTD_scaffold0004500
AUCCAGCUGACGAGUUCUGAAUAGGGUGAAGUGGCGCGCGUCCUGGAU